rnacentral:rRNA from 1 species
GCAACGCGCAGAACCUUACCAACCCUUGACAUCCCUAUCGCGGUUACCAGAGAUGGUUUCCUUCAGCUCGGCUGGAUAGGUGACAGGUGCUGCAUGGCUGUCGUCAGCUCGUGUCGUGAGAUGUUCGGUUAAGUCCGGCAACGAGCGCAACCCACAUCCUUAGUUGCCAGCAGUUCGGCUGGGCACUCUAGGGAAACUGCCCGUGAUAAGCGGGAGGAAGGUGUGGAUGACGUCAAGUCCUCAUGGCCCUUACGGGUUGGGCUACACACGUGCUACAAUGGCAUCUACAGUGGGCAGCUAUCACGCGAGUGUGAGCUAAUCUCCAAAAGAUGUCUCAGUUCGGAUUGUUCUCUGCAACUCGAGAGCAUGAAGGCGGAAUCGCUAGUAAUCGCGGAUCAGCUUGCCGCGGUGAAUACGUUCCCGGGUCUUGUACACACCGCCCGUCACACCAUGGAAGUUGGCCACGCCCGAAGCCGUUACUCCAACCCUUGUGGAGGAGGACGUCGAAGGUGGGGCUGAUGACUGGGGUGAAGUCGUAACAAGGUA